rnacentral:rRNA from 1 species
CAGUAGCCGCGGGAAAACGAAGGGGGCUAGCGUUGCUCGGAAUUACUGGGCGUAAAGGGAGCGUAGGCGGAUGUAUAAGUCAGAGGUGAAAGCCCAGGGCUCAACCUUGGAACUGCCUUUGAUACUGGACAUCUUGAGUGUGGGAGAGGUAAGCGGAACUCCGAGUGUAGAGGUGAAAUUCGUAGAUAUUCGGAAGAACACCAGUGGCGAAGGCGGCUUACUGGCCCAUUACUGACGCUGAGGCUCGAAAGCGUGGGGAGCAAACAGGAUUAGAGACCCCCGUAGUCCCUGUCUCUUAUAC